UUCCGGUUGAUCCCGCCGACCCGACUGCUAUCAGAGUGGGACUAAGCCAUGCGAGUCAACAUAGCAAUAUGUGGCAUACGGCUCAGUAACACGUAGUCAACAUGCCCAGGGGACGUGGAUAACCUCGGGAAACUGAGGAUAAACCGCGAUAGGUCAUCACUUCUGGAAUGGGUAAUGACUUAAAUCUAUAUAGCCCCUGGAUUGGACUGCGGCCGAUCAGGCUGUUGGUGAGGUAAUGGCCCACCAAACCUGUAACCGGUACGGGCUCUGAGAGGAGGAGCCCGGAGAUGGGCGCUGAGACAAGGGCCCAGGCCCUAUGGGGCGCAGCAGGCGCGAAACCUCUGCAAUAGGCGAAAGCUUGACAGGGUUACUCUGAGUGAUUUCCGUUAAGGAGAUCUUUCGGCACCUCUAAAAAUGGUGCAGAAUAAGGGGUGGGCAAGUCUGGUGUCAGCCGCCGCGGUAAUACCAGCACCCCGAGUGGUCGGGACGUUUAUUGGGCCUAAAGCAUCCGUAGCCGGUUCUACAAGUCUUCCGUUAAAUCCACCUGCUUAACAGAUGGGCUGCGGAAGAUACUAUAGAGCUAGGAGGCGGGAGAGGCAAGCGGUACUCGAUGGGUAGGGGUAAAAUCCGUUGAUCCAUUGAAGACCACCAGUGGCGAAGGCGGCUUGCCAGAAUGCGCUCGACGGUGAGGGAUGAAAGCUGGGGGAGCAAACCGGAUUAGAUACCCGGGUAGUCCCAGCUGUAAACGAUGCAAACUCGGUGAUGGGUUGGCCUCGUGCCAACCCAGUGCCGCAGGGAAGCCGUUAAGUCUGCCGCCUGGGGAGUACGGUCGCAAGACUGAAACUUAAAGGAAUUGGCGGGGGAGCACCACAAGGGGUGAAGCCUGCGGUUCAAUUGGAUUCAACGCCGGG
rnacentral:rRNA from 1 species